UAAAAAUCGUAACAAGGUUUCCGUAGGUGAACCUGCGGAAGGAUCAUUAUCGAGUUUUGACUGGGUUGUAGCUGGCCUUCCGAGGCAUGUGCACGCCCUGCUCAUCCACUCUACACCUGUGCACUUACUGUGGGCUUCAGAUCGUAAAACGGGUCCCUUUACCGGGCUUGCGGAGCGUGUCUGUGCCUGCGUUUAUCACAAACUCUAUAAAGUAUCAGAAUGUGUAUUGCGAUGUAACGCAUCUAUAUACAACUUUCAGCAACGGAUCUCUUGGCUCUCGCAUCGAUGAAGAACGCAGCGAAAUGCGAUAAGUAAUGUGAAUUGCAGAAUUCAGUGAAUCAUCGAAUCUUUGAACGCACCUUGCGCUCCUUGGUAUUCCGAGGAGCAUGCCUGUUUGAGUGUCAUGAAAUCUUCAACCUGCAAGCUUUUGUGGUUUGUAGGCUUGGACUUGGAGGCUUGUCGGCCGUUGUUGGUCGGCUCCUCUUAAAUGCAUUAGCUUGGUUCCUUGCGGAUCGGCUCUCAGUGUGAUAAUGUCUACGCUGCGACCGUGAAGCGUUUGGCGAGCUUCUAACCGUCUCAGUUGGAGACAACUUUAUGACCUCUGACCUCAAAUCAGGUAGGACUACCCGCUGAACUUAA
rnacentral:rRNA from 1 species